CAGGUGGUCAGGUAGAGAAUACCAAGGCGCUUGAGAGAACUCGGGUGAAGGAACUAGGCAAAAUGGUGCCGUAACUUCGGGAGAAGGCACGCUGAUAUGUAGGUGAAGUGAUUUACUCAUGGAGCUGAAAUCAGUCGAAGAUACCAGCUGGCUGCAACUGUUUAUUAAAAACACAGCACUGUGCAAACACGAAAGUGGACGUAUACGGUGUGACGCCUGCCCGGUGCCGGAAGGUUAAUUGAUGGGGUUAUCCCUCGGGAGAAGCUCUUGAUCGAAGCCCCGGUAAACGGCGGCCGUAACUAUAACGGUCCUAAGGUAGCGAAAUUCCUUGUCGGGUAAGUUCCGACCUGCACGAAUGGCGUAAUGAUGGCCAGGCUGUCUCCACCCGAGACUCAGUGAAAUUGAACUCGCUGUGAAGAUGCAGUGUACCCGCGGCAAGACGGAAAGACCCCGUGAACCUUUACUAUAGCUUGACACUGAACACUGGUCCUUGAUGUGUAGGAUAGGUGGGAGGCUUUGAAGUGUGGACGCCAGUCUGCAUGGAGCCGCCCUUGAAAUACCACCCUUUAAUGGCUGGUGUUCUAACGUGGGCCCGUAAUCCGGGUUGCGGACAGUGUCUGGUGGGUAGUUUGACUGGGGCGGUCUCCUCCUAAAGAGUAACGGAGGAGCACGAAGGUCAGCUAAUCCUGGUCGGACAUCAGGAGGUUAGUGCAAUGGCAUAAGCUGGCUUGACUGCGAGCGUGACGGCGCGAGCAGGUGCGAAAGCAGGUCAUAGUGAUCCGGUGGUUCUGAAUGGAAGGGCCAUCGCUCAACGGAUAAAAGGUACUCCGGGGAUAACAGGCUGAUACCGCCCAAGAGUUCAUAUCGACGGCGGUGUUUGGCACCUCGAUGUCGGCUCAUCACAUCCUGGGGCUGAAGUAGGUCCCAAGGGUAUGGCUGUUCGCCAUUUAAAGUGGUACGCGAGCUGGGUUUAGAACGUCGUGAGACAGUUCGGUCCCUAUCUGCCGUGGGCGCUGGAGAACUGAGGGGGGCUGCUCCUAGUACGAGAGGACCGGAGUGGACGCAUCACUGGUGUUCGGGUUGUCAUGCCAAUGGCACUGCCCGGUAGCUAAAUGCGGAAGAGAUAAGUGCUGAAAGCAUCUAAGCACGAAACUUGCC
rnacentral:rRNA from 1 species